rnacentral:rRNA from 1 species
AGAGUUUGAUCAUGGCUCAGAACGAACGUUGGCGGCGUGGAUUAGGCAUGCAAGUCGAACGAAUCCCUGGGGGCUUGCUCUCAGGGGGAAGUGGCGAAAGGGGCAGUAAGGCGUGGGUAACCUACCCCGGGGACCGGGAUAGCCAUCCUAACGGGUGGGUAAUACCGGGCGAUCUGGCCGAGGGACAUCUCUUGACCAGGAAAUGAGUUUCGCCUCGGGAGGGGCUCACGUGGUAUUAGCUGGUUGGUGAGGUAACGGCUCACCAAGGCCAAGAUGCCUAGCGGGUGUGAGAGCACGACCCGCGCCACUGGCACUGCGACACUGGCCAGACUCCUACGGGAGGCUGCAGUCGAGGAUCUUCGGCAAUGGGCGCAAGCCUGACCGAGCGACGCCGCGUGUGCGAUGAAGGCCUUCGGGUUGUAAAGCACUGUCGAGGGGGAGGAAAGCCCGCAAGGGCCUGACCUAUCCCUGGAGGAAGCACGGGCUAAGUUCGUGCCAGCAGCCGCGGUAAGACGAACCGUGCGAACGUUGUUCGGAUUCACUGGGCUUAAAGGGCGCGUAGGCGGGCGGUCUUGUCAGGGGUGAAAUCGUUCGGCUCAACCGGACCCGUGCCCCUGAGACGGAUCGCCUCGAGGGAGGUAGGGGCAUGUGGAACUUCCGGUGGAGCGGUGAAAUGCGUAGAUAUCGGAAGGAACGCCGGUGGUGAAAGCGACGUGCUGGACCUCUUCUGACGCUGAGGCGCGAAAGCCAGGGGAGCAAACGGGAUUAGAUACCCCCGUAGUCC